UGCGGGAUGGAGCAGUGUGUUAGCUCGUCGGGCUCAUAACCCGAAGGUCGUUUGUUCAAAUCCAGCUCACGCUA
rnacentral:tRNA from 1 species